rnacentral:rRNA from 1 species
AGUAACGGCGAGUGAAGCGGCAACAGCUCAGAUUUGAAAUCUGGCCUUUGGGCCCGAGUUGUAAUCUGCAGAGGAUGCUUCGGGCGAGGUGCCUUCCAAGUGCCCUGGAACGGGACGCCGGAGAGGGUGAGAGCCCCGUACAGUUGGACACUAAGCCCAUGUGAAGCUCCUUCGACGAGUCGAGUUGUUUGGGA